AGAUGGAUUUGUGCCUUCGGGAGCCGUGAGACAGGUGCUGCAUGGCUGUCGUCAGCUCGUGUUGUGAAAUGUUGGGUUAAGUCCCGCAACGAGCGCAACCCUUAUCCUUUGUUGCCAGCGGUCCGGCCGGGAACUCAAAGGAGACUGCCAGUGAUAAACUGGAGGAAGGUGGGGAUGACGUCAAGUCAUCAUGGCCCUUACGACCAGGGCUACACACGUGCUACAAUGGCGCAUACAAAGAGAAGCGACCUCGCGAGAGCAAGCGGACCUCAUAAAGUGCGUCGUAGUCCGGAUUGGAGUCUGCAACUCGACUCCAUGAAGUCGGAAUCGCUAGUAAUCGUGGAUCAGAAUGCCACGGUGAAUACGUUCCCGGGCCUUGUACACACCGCCCGUCACACCAUGGGAGUGGGUUGCAAAAGAAGUAGGUAGCUUAACCUUCGGGAGGGCGCUUACCACUUUGUGAUUCAUGACUGGGGUGAAGUCGUAACAAGGUAACCGUAGGGGAACCUGCGGUUGGA
rnacentral:rRNA from 1 species